rnacentral:rRNA from 1 species
UAGGGAAUCUUCCACAAUGGACGCAAGUCUGAUGGAGCAACGCCGCGUGAGUGAAGAAGGUUUUCGGAUCGUAAAGCUCUGUUGUUGGUGAAGAAGGAUAGAGGUAGUAACUGGCCUUUAUUUGACGGUAAUCAACCAGAAGUCACGGCUAACUACGUGCCAG